GACGAACGCUGGCGGCGUGCUUAACACAUGCAAGUCGAACGGAAAGGCCCUGCUUUUGUGGGGUGCUCGAGUGGAGAACGGGUGAGUAACACGUGAGUUCCCUGCCCUUGACUUUGGGAUAACUUCAGGCAACUGGGGCUAAUACGGGAUAGGAGCUCCUGCUGCUUGGUGGGGGUUGGAAAGUUUCGGCGGUUGGGGAUGGACUCGCGGCUUAUCAGGUUGUUGGUGGGGUAGUGGCUUACCAAGGCUUGGACGGGUAGCCGGCCUGAGAGGAGGACCGGCCACAUUGCGACGGAGAUACGGCCCGGACUCCAACGGGAGGCAGCGGUGGAGAAUAUUACACAAGGGGCGGAAGCCUGAUGCAGCAACGCCGCGUGCGGUAUGACGGCCUGCGGGUUGUAAACCGCUUUCGCCUGUGACGAAGCGUUAGUGACGGUAAUGAGUAAAUAAGCACCGGCUAACUACGUG
rnacentral:rRNA from 1 species